CUUGGCAGUUGACACUGACAGGCUAGUUUAUGUUUUCGUCGGUUUUCUGCCUGCGCCAUGUAUUGAAUUGACUGAAUUUCCGAGGUUUUCUGAAUAAAUAAAACUAAAAUACUGUUAAUUAUAAGCUAGAGCUUUUAUAUCUGAUGUCAAACUAUUGUGACGUUACUGCGAUUUCCAACAAGGGCAUACAACCUUUUUGGUGAUCAUGCUGGACGGUAGCUUGAUGGAUAUGGUUCUGACUACUCUGGGCGUACUAUUGAGUAUGGCGAUGUUAAGCUGUUUAUGCUGUAUUUGUAUGAAAUUCAGUGACCGCAAGAUGAAGAGUUAUGUAGUGGAAAUGGCUAAAAAGAAAGGUAUUAAAGUGGAUUUAGAUAAACUGGAUCCAAAAUACAAACAAUGUGAUUCGCCACAGUUAAACGAGAACUGCACAAUAAUGAUACCAGAUGUCGCCAUUGUUCUUUAGCUUAACCUGCUUGGUCAACAUUACAUUUAAACAUUAACAUUUUUUAAAGGAGUAUACUGUUUUGGGAUACCCAUAGAUUUAGGCUCCUACUAUUGUUCCAAAGAUUGACUAUUACGUGAUGAGUCUAAAACAUAGGCACUUUAACAAAAACAAGCAACAUCUUGAAAAAUGUUUUAAAUUUUAAAUAAUCCUAUGAUUGAAAUUAUGUAACACCACAAAUACUGAUUUUAAAGUUGAGGAAUGCAGCUCAUAUGUAUUGAGACACCCAUGUAAAAGUCAGUCGCUUGAUGUAUUUCAGUUUUGGCUUCAUUAAAAUCACUCAAAUGCCAAUUUAUCUACUAUUCUAUAUCUGUGGGGAUACCAAUGAAUUUGCGUAUGUUUAAAGUAUAUAAGUUAACUCUAUAGACACUGCGCUCCUGAGCAAGUUAGCCUUUUCCAAGUUUAUAGGAAUUGGCAUGUAGUCCCAGCUUGCAGAACCCACUGACUUGGGUACUCUUGGGAACAGUUGUCAUAAUUAUCAUCAGCUUCUCUACUGAACAAUCUGGAAUACUUUAAAAGUUAGAUUGAUACUAAAGUUUUGUUUGACUAGAAGUCACAGAGAAGGUAGUUUAACAAACUAAAGAUAAAACUUGCUUUUAAAUAAUCUGAGAUAUAUGAGUAUGAUUCUAUUUGGGGUAAAUAGUCAAGUUUUUAUAAGAAUCUUUAAUCUUUUUAAGAAGAGUUUUCUUGUUGAAUUCUGCUAAAGGACUGAACUGAAGCAUUUGUCAGGAUAUUGAUCAAUGGUAUGAUUGUGAUAGGCUAAGAUUCUGUAGCUAUCUAUUGCAAUAUAUUUGGGGUAAACCCCAUGUUAACUUAUUGCAUUGUAUUGUAUAAGCAAAAAUUGCCAAAUAAAAAACUAAAACCACUGUGCGGUUAAUAUUAGCUAUAGUGUAAUGUGAAAUUAUAUUCUAAAUCCCAAUUCUAGGAUGUUGCAUGUCUCUUAUAAUUAUAUUUGACAUUCCGUAAUAGGAAUGCAUAGUUUUUACUAAAUGGAAAACCAGUAUUAAUUUAUGACCAAAGAAUUUAGGUAAUUAUUAUACUUUUAUUUUGAUACUUUGAUAACUUAAUUUGCUAUUUUUUGACUGUUUUAAGACUCAUAUUUCUAUAGCUCUCUCUGAAGUUCCUAAAUGAUUAAUAGACUUAGUAUUGCCUACAAGAUAACUCAAUACUUGUCUAUUUUCUACCUGUUGGCCAAGAAGUUUUUUAUGUAAAUUUUAUUAAUAUGAAGACAGAUUAGGUUUAGAUUGUGUAUAGUAAUAGUAUAGUAUUUUAGAAUGCACUUUACAGGUCAUAUUAAUAUUUAAAAUAUUACAAAAAUAAUUGUCUUGGUCACCUUGGCUCAUUGGAGCUUAGCAAGCUACAUGAUAGUGCUUUGUAAAUUAUUUGCUUCUUAGAAGCUUUCAGUAGCUUUCAAGUGUUCAAUUAUAAAGUGAGAUGGUAUUUAUGUACCGGUAGAUUGUAUUUGUAUUGAAUCGAGUAUUUGGUGUUUAUUACUACAGUAAAAGAUAAACUGUAAUUUUACAUAAAAACAGUAAAAUUAAUUAAAUAGUAAUGAUUAUUGUAGUACUAAAAGACCCCAAGUACGGCUUCGUAUUUUAUAUUGUGAGUUAGAUCUUAUCACUAAUGCACGUGAGUAUUGCAUUGCCUACGAAGGGCCCUAAUUCUAAUAUGACCAAUGACCAUAGACAUGUUAUGGCCUGGUUAUUAGAUUUACAUAUACCUACAUACCUUCAUGAUUUAUAAUCUAGAUUCUUUUCUGCUACUGACUUCCCAAUUGUAUCAAAUACGAGGUAAAUAUGUAUAUUAAGCGUAGAAGUGUCCAACAUUUGCUACAGGUAAAAACGUAGAAUUUAUAAAAAAAUAUGUAUUAAGAGAAUUUUAGCUCAGUUGAACUCAUUCACUUUAAAAUAAGGGGAUUAUAAUCUCAUUAUGCCUAUAGAAGUAAGACAUUUUUGUGGAAAAACUUGCCUUAAUAGUGUGAACGUUCUUAUUCAGAUAUAUUUUUACAUAACUACCUUAAUGAAACUAAAUGAAAUGCUCGAGUUUGUAUUUUUUUAAUAAUGAUCAAUACUCCGCCUAAAAUAGUUUUGUAUAUUGAUCUAUUCUCAUUGAUACUUACCUAUAGUCUUAUAUUUGACGCCACAUUUUUGAAAAUGACUUUAAAUUUACUAUACACAGCAUACCACUUUUUUGGUAGUAAAACAGGCUGCGCUGGCCCCUAAUAAAAUUGGGGUAAAGCCAGGAAGAUGAAGUCUUUGCCAAUUUUCUGUAAAUGUUUUGGAAAUACAUACCUACAUGUGUAAGUUAAAUCGCUAAAUGUACUCGAAAUUAACAACGCCUAAAUAAAAUUGAAUAGCUGAAAAAUGUAUUAUUUAUGAAACUCUAUUUUAAUAUCGUUUAACUCUAACAUGAACUCUUAGUACCAAUUUGAUGAGAGAAACAAUUAAUUGAUUAGAUUAAAGAUAGCUAAAAAAGAUUGAUAGCCCUUAUUGUACCUACACGUAAUAAAUAUUAUUAUAUUAUGUGACAAACAUUUCUCCGUCAUUCGUUUUGCCGAUGAACGGUUCACCGACAGAAGAACGAUUAGCCGACACAACUUUUUGUCUAACCCUGGGAUAUAAAACAAGCCUGUCAUGUAGACCUAUUUUUCAUUUAUUCUUUACACCUGAAUCAAGUGACACCGAUUAUUGCUGUCGAAUACCUACGUAUGUUUUUUAUAUCCAGGGAACAGUUGAGUCGGCGAAUCGUUCCGUCAUUGAAACAUUCUAACGGUGAAAAAAAAGUGAAACUUUCAUCGGCGAAACUAAUGGCGGAGAAAUGUUUCAGAAUCUAUUAUGUCUAGGUAAGUGUAGCGCACAAUAAGACUAUAUUAAGUAAAGAAUAUGCCAAACAUUUUCUAUAUCCUUAAUUUAACUACACUAUCUACUAUCUAUUGAUGAUGCCCCUGCUUCAAAAUGUAUAUACUGCCAUUGGUUUCGUGUGACUGAAAGAAUUAAGAUACUAUUUAAAGAACAAAGUAUUAUAACCUUUAGAAAACUGAAAUAAAGUAAUUUCUUAAAAGCAA